AUGCCCCAAUUUGAAGCCGAUUUGGCAGCUCUGGAACGUGAUCCCGACAAGCCACUUCCCAUAUCUUCGUAUCAUGCCAAUGACCAAGAUAGAGUUAGAAGGAGAUACAUUGACUUGGGUGCUUGUCAACCAAAGGAUCAUAAGUUUGAGAUCAGAGAUUUUAGUGGACAUCCCCGUCGCUUUUGCCUUACUUGGUUUAAGGAUCAUAAGUGGCUUGAGUAUAGUGUGCAAGAAGAGGCUGCUUUCUGCUUUGUUUGCUACUUGUUCAAGGAUAAAACAAAGAGUUCCGGAGGAGAUGCAUUUGUGAACGGUGGGUUUAAUAAUUGGAACUUGAAAGCUAGAUUGAAGAGGCAUAUUCGUGCUGUUAGUAGUGCUCACGCUGAAGCUCAAGAAAAGUAUAAUAUGUUCACUACACCUACAACAUCAAUUAGGGAGUCCAUUGCUUCAAACACCACACAGUACAAGGUUCUAUAUAAGCUCCGUGUGACAUGGACACUCAAGUGUUUAAGAUUCCUAUUGCACCAAGGUUUGGCAUUUAGAGGACAUGAUGAAAGUUAUGACUCACUAAAUAAAGGAAAAUUCCUUGAGCUUUUAAAUUGGCUAGCAGGAAACUUUGAAGAGGUUGAUAGGGUGGUUCUAAAGAAUGCUCCACAAAAUUGUAAGAAAAAUCCCCAUGAUAUACAACAAGAGUUGAUCAAAUGUUGUGCCCAGCUGACUACUAAACUAGUCAUUGAAGAUCUUGAUGGUGGACAUUUUGCAGUACUUGCAGAUGAGUCUAGUGAUAUGUACCAGAAUGAACAACUAGCUGUUUUCUUGCGUUAUGUGGAUAAGAAAGGAAGGACAGUUGUGAGAUUUCUUGGUCUUGCCCAUGUUGAAGACACUUCCUCUUUGACACUUAAAGCUGCAAUUGAGGACAUGCUUAUGACAUACAAUUUGAGCUUUGCAAUGGUCCGUGGGCAAGGAUAUGAUGGGGCUAGUAAUAUGAAAGGUAAUGCUAAUGGCCUGAAGAAACUAAUUAUGGAUGAGUCUCCUUAUGCCUAUUAUGUCCAUUGCUUUGCCCAUCAACUACAAUUAACUCUUGUUGCUGUUGCAAAGGAGAGUGGUGAUUGUAAUUGGUUAUUUCAACAUCUGGCAUGUUUGCUAAAUGUUCUACGCUAUUCUUGUAAAAAGAUGAGAAUGCUUCGAAUAGCUCAAGCUGAGGAACUUAUUGCUGCAUUAGAGUUGGAAGAAGUAGAAACAGGGACGGAUUUGAAUCAAGAAAUGGGUAUUGGAAGGCCAUGUGAUACACGUUGGGUCUCUCACUACAAGACUGUCAACCAUGUUAUCUCUAUGUAUCCGGCAAUAAGGCGUGUUCUCAUAAGGGUUGCAAAAGAGUAUAAUGGCACAGAGGUAGUAGCAGCAAUGACUAUGUUGACAUCAUUUUGGACAUUUGAAUUUGUUUUCAUGGCACACUUGAUGCAAGAAAUAUUUGAAUACACCGAUGACUUGAGUAGAGCUUUGCAAAAGAAAGAUCAAGAUAUUGUUAAUGCUAUGGAGAUUGUUGAUCUCACAAAGCUGCACUUGCAAUGCUUGCGAGAAGAUGAAGGGUGGAAUGAUUUUCUUCAGAAUGUCACUUCUUUUUGUGUAAAGCACAAGAUCAAAGUUGUUGACAUGGAGGCUCCUUACUAUCCUGCUAGGAGACCAAGAAGAGGGUUCUUCAAUGGCGCAAAGAAUUACCAACUCUUCAAGGUUGAAAUGUUUGUGGGUGUCAUUGAUAGGCAACUUCAAGAGCUGAAUGCAAGAUUCUUCAAGAGCAUUCAGUCCACGUGA
rnacentral:rRNA from 1 species